CUGGAGCUGGGUGAGGACGACAUCGCCCGGCUCUACGCCGGGGAGGCCAUCGACGUCGACGCGGCGGCCGGUCUGGUCUGCCACACCGGCC
rnacentral:tRNA from 1 species